UUUCGCCAAUUUACACCAGCAGAAUCGAUCUUCUCUAAAAGUUAGAAAUAUUCAAAAUAAAUAAAAGUACUAUCUUUAUGGGCUUUCAAAAAACCCAAACAAAACAAAACAAAAACAAACCUAAAUGCAAUUUGGGAAUGUUUAGGAAAGAAAACCGUUUGGUUUCGUCCCCCGAAUGUUUGGGUUUAUUCAACCCGGAUGUUAUGUAUCGAUUGGAAACAAAACAAAUUAAAGAAAUAAUAGUGAACAACCCGACCAAAGGUUACUUUUUUAUUUGCCCGUACACUACCAUAUUUAGACUAUUAAAAACGAUUUCAAAAUCGUAAUAACCAAUUAUCCCCGUCACGACUUCGGGGGCGAAUUAUAAUACAAGGGGAAAUAACACGAUACCCUUUAUAUGUUGUUUGUUUUGUUAGAAAAUUUUGCUACUUUUUUUCAUUGAAAUAUGGCUUAAUUGACUGGGAAAACUACUGCAAUGUCAAUAAUUAUACACAUGCUUAGCAUAGUCAUCGUUUAAAAGCGUAGACAAAAUUUGCUAUAAAGUCGGACCAAGCAGCUUUAACUAUUUAGGUUCAAUUAAAAUUCAUAGACUUAUCAUUUAUGUCAUAGCCCUGCUCUCAGACUUGUGUCAUUUAAAUUGAAUAGUUUGAAAAUUCUGUUUUAUGAAAGUAAAAACCAAUUUGAUGAUGGUGUAAAAAAAAUUAAUGUUUAAAUUACAGAGAGACUGGGUCAGAAGACCAAUUGCUUUUUUUUUGGGGGGGGGGGGUUGAAUCUAGUUGGGUAAAGUAAACGUUAAAUAUUAUUGCUAAGAUGAGUAAUACGACCUAUCGACUUCUUGUUUAGUAAGUUCAAAGUGACUACAAUUCGGUAAGAAUUCUGAAAAUCGUCAACAUUAAGAAGAAAAAAUAAAUGCAUUUUAACACACACGCUUUCGUUUUAAGGUACACAUAUUCUUGAUGCAAUUUAUUUAAACAGGAAUUGUUUUUACAUUCUUUUUUUAAUGUAAUUUUCUUGGCAUAAUAAAAUUGUUGACGUCAUGAUAAUUUUAGGCACAUUAUCCCUGAAAAUGGAGUCACAUUGGUUUUGUUGUUUUGGAUUUUUUAAUUUUUGAUUUGAUAAUGCAUGUUUCUUUUAUUCACUGUAUUUUAUGUGGAUUAUAUAAAAUUACAUUAACUUUUCUUUUUUAUAUAUAUAUAUUAAGAUGUGCGUUUUUGUUGAGCACACGGCAGCAAUUUGUUUAAACUUUGCUUUUAAGUUAUUUUAGGCAUUUUAAUAUGUUGUUUUGUGGAGUUUUUUUUGGUUUAUAAAACUACUUAAUGUGAAUGUCCAAUUUUAUCAAUUAAACUUAUUUCCCUUUAUAGGAUUUAUCUUAGUAACGCUUUCGUUGUUUAUUUUUCUGAGUGACUUUCUUUAGCAAUGCAUGGUAUGCUGGAAAAUAUUGUAUAAUUUCAAAACGAUUUCGAUGUCAACUAAUAUGUUGACACUAUACUAAUUACAUUAAACUUUCAAAACAUGUUUUAAGGUUUAACAUCGACAUAUUUGCAAUUUUAAGGUAUUCAGUGUAUAAUAAAGAGAAUGUGAACAGUU
rnacentral:sRNA from 1 species